rnacentral:rRNA from 1 species
UACGUAGGGGGCAAGCGUUGUCCGGAAUCAUUGGGCGUAAAGAGCGUGUAGGCGGUCCGGUAAGUCGGCUGUGAAAGUCCAAGGCUCAACCUUGGGAUGCCGGUCGAUACUGCCGGACUAGAGUUCGGAAGAGGCGAGUGGAAUUCCCGGUGUAGCGGUGAAAUGCGCAGAUAUCGGGAGGAACACCUAUAGCGAAGGCAGCUCGCUGGGACGUUACUGACGCUGAGACGCGAAAGCGUGGGGAGCAAACAGG